rnacentral:lncRNA from 1 species
GCCUCCCAAAGUGCUGGGAUUAUAGGCGUGAACCACCAUGCCUGGCCUUGAUCUAUUAAUACGUCCCAGGAGCUACAGAAUUAUAUUCAUGAACUUUGAAUGACUUCAGUCAAGUCACUUUUCUUCUCUAAGUCUUAUUUCUCAUCUGUAUAAUGUGAGUGAGAGGUGAGGGGUGGGUAGGGGAUAUUGGGUAGGUGGCUACCUGUGAUCUCUACAUUGGGUAGAGGGCUGUGUUCACUAGAGUUCCAGAUUUUCUGUGAUUCUAAGAAGCCUUUGGAAUCUUGGAGUGAGUAUUCCCAGGGAACUCUGAUGUGCUGAAAAGCUCUCCUACAUCGUUGAUGUCAGCUGUGCCUGAGGCUUUUUAAUGGGUCAACAGACCCCAAAGAUCCAGAAGGGUCCUGAGACAUGAAGCUGGUCCUCACAACUCUGCACAGACUAGGAGGCCCAAAGAAGAGAAACAUUCACUACACCAAGUUGCCUGCAUUUGGUCCUGGGUUCAAGCCACCAACUUCUGUCAUUUUAGUAGAAAACAAGCAUAACAACAGCAUUUACUGACAGGGUGUUGGAGCCAAAAAGUGGAAAUGAAACAAACAAGCUUUUCUGGCAGAGAGAAAGAAUCUGCUGGAAGGUCAGACAACCACAAGACUAGAAUUACACAUGACUCUUCCUAGAGCAGCAUGAACAGAAAAUGCUCACAGGAUUGGAAGUCUGAAAACCCGAGGGCUGGAAAGAACCAUUCAGAUCUACAGAGUAUUUUACAGCCUUCAAAACAUUGAAAGUCUCUUAAUUUUUCUACAGACAGCUGUGGGGAAAGUUACCACCACCCAUUUCCCAGAUGAGAAAACUGAGCCUUGGAAAAAUAAAAGAUAUUUCCAAGGGUUGAAGGCAUGUCUUACUUCAAAUUCAGCCUUGGCUAUGUGACCUGAAAAAACUCAGUCCUCAGCUCUGUUCUUAGUUUUACUAUCUGUAAAAUAAAGAGGUUGAUUUGUAAA